ensembl:snoRNA SNORD33 Small nucleolar RNA Z195/SNORD33/SNORD32 family
GAGACUAUGAUGAUGCUGAUAUUUAUCACAUGUUCGAGUUCUACCGACCAUGAGAUGAAAAGCUCCAUGCACCUCCAUCUGAGAUCUC